UUUAACGGCCGGGGUAUUCUGACCGUGCAAAGGUAGCGCAAUCACUUGUCCUUUAAAUAAGGACCCGUAUGAAAGGCACAACGAGGGCUCAACUGUCUCCUCCCCCCAGUCGAUGAAACUGAUCUCCCUGUGCAGAAGCAGGGAUACCACAAUAAGACGAAAAGACCCCAUGGAGCUUCAGACACCAAGUACCCCUCCCUCAUCAAACUCCCACCCGGGAGAACACCCACCCCCCUCCCUCCUGUCUUUGGUUGGGGCGACCAUGGAGGAAACUAAGCCUCCACGCGGAGGGAGCAUUGCCCUUACAGCUAAGACCCACGCCUCUAAGCAACAAAACUUUUGACCUGGACGAUCCGACACGAUCAACGAACCAAGUUACCCUGGGGAUAACAGCGCAAUCC
rnacentral:rRNA from 1 species